GAUGAACGCUGGCGGCGUGCCUAACACAUGCAAGUCGAGCGAACGGACGAGAAGCUUGCGUCGCUGAUGUUAGCGGCGGACGGGAGAGUAACACGUGGAUAACCUACCUAUAAGACAGGGAUAACUUCGGGAAACCGGAGCUAAUACCGGAAAAUAUUUUGAACCGAAAGGGUCAAAAGUGAAAGACGGUAUUGGUGUCACGUAUAGAUGGAUCCGCGCUGCAUUAGCUAGUUGGUAAGGUAACGGCUUACCAAGGCGACGAUGCUUAGCCGACCUGAGAGGGUGGUCGGCCACCCGGGAACUGAGACACGGUCCAGACUCCUACGGGAGGCAGCAGUAGGCAAUCUUACGCAAUGGGCGAGAGCCUGACGGAGCACCGCCGCGUGAGGGCUGACGGUCUUCGGACCGUAAAACUCUGUUAUUAGGAAAGAACAUAUGUGUUAUUAACUGUGCCCAUCUUGACGGUACCUGGUCAGAAAGCCCCGGCUAACUACGUG
rnacentral:rRNA from 1 species